UUACCCACGCAUAUAAUAUACUAUAUAUGCACCCAUUUCGGUAGUAGCGCAAAGGAAAGAAAGGUCGGCCAUAUGUAUAUCAGUCUUGCUUUGUUUCGUUCUCACCCCCAUUUUUUUCUUGGCUUUUUCCUUCUCACACAGAUCUUCUUUUCUUGUUUUGCCUUCGAAUUCUAUCACCUUCUCCAACAAAUACAACGACUUUGAUGCGUACAUGCAUCCAGAAUAGCCAAAGGAUUUUACGGUUCACCAGCCCGUACUCCUCCAAUGGUCCAAUCUUCCUAAACAUCAAAAUUGUGAUUCGCAAAUACAAAUUGAUCUGCCUAUUAAUCUGAAAUAGCCUUCCACCCGCAGUAAAUGAUAUGGCUCUGGUAAAGUGCACUUUCUCCCUUUACUCUCCGCCGGCGGUCGGUUGAGUAGCCAACGACAGAGAUCAGACCAGACAAUGCCAGGAACCGUGAUCCUCUCCCUGGAUCACUCACGUAUGUGUUUGCCUAGUGUCACUGUUUAAUAUUGUGUACGUAGUUUCUUCUUCAUCUGCCCAGUUUGGAAGUGAAGUUUUUCUGCUUCUGCCAUUCUUUUUGCUACGUAUCUAUGCAUGCACCAACUAUCUUUCCUGGUUUCUUUGAAUACAGAAUACUAGAGCCACAUAUUAAAACAUGCUUAUUCACUAAGGGUUUUUUUUUUUUUUUUUCUUGGUGACUGGUCGCGCGCCGCGACCGACCAGGUCCUUUUUACAGCUGGUCAAGCUGGCACCAUUGUUGGUGCGGUUUUCCGGUAUUUCCCCUCCAUUUUUAAUUUUUUGAAAGGGGUGAUGGGAGAGUGACCGGUGGCUCAUCGCCGUCGGUGCUGGAUGACCAGUCGCUCACUGCAGGCUUGUCUGAUCGGGUGGAUGGCUGACCAGUCACCUGUCUUACUGAUUCUGAACUGACGUAGGGAUUGAGUGAGCGGUGAGAGAUUCCUCUAAACCAUGAUUAUCUGUACUUGAUUGCCAACUUUCAGGUGCUGGCGGAUCUUUCUAAUGCUAAUGUGUCUUCUGCUGGGUAGCUGAAUAGUGUAGAUCCAAGAGCUGAUGAUUUUUGUUGGCAGGAUAAGCCGAGCAAAUGGAUGUUAUUGCCUACCUUGCAUAUGACAUGUAGCAAUUUUAUUUUUUUUUUGAUCGCUUGGGUAUUGUAAUGACGAUUUCUAAUAUACUCUUCUAUUUUUAUGUUCA